rnacentral:rRNA from 1 species
UGCCAGCCGCCGUGGUAAUACGGAGGGGGCAAGCGUUGUUCGGAAUUACUGGGCGUAAAGGGCGUGUAGGCGGCGGUUUUAGUCAGGCGUGAAAGCCCGAGGCUCAACCUCGGAAUAGCGCUUGAUACUGAACUGCUUGAGACCGGAAGAGGGUAGUGGAAUUCCCAGUGUAGAGGUGAAAUUCGUAGAUAUUCGGAGGAACACCAGUGGCGAAGGCGGCUCACUGGCUCGAUACUGACGCUGAGGUACGAAAGUGUGGGGAGCGAACGGGAUUAGAUA